GGCGGCGUAGCUCAGCCCGGUAGAGCAGGGGACUCAUAAGCCCUUGGUCGGGGGUUCAAAUCCCUCCGCCGCUACCA
rnacentral:tRNA from 1 species